rnacentral:rRNA from 1 species
CCUACGGGGGGCAGCAGUGGGGAAUAUUGCACAAUGGGGGAAACCCUGAUGCAGCGACGCCGCGUGAGCGAUGAAGUAUUUCGGUAUGUAAAGCUCUAUCAGUAGGGAAGAAAAUGACGGUACCUGACUAAGAAGCCCCGGCUAACUACGUGCCAGCAGCCGCGGUAAUACGGAGGGGGCAAGCGUUAUCCGGAUUUACUGGGUGUAAAGGGAGCGUAGACGGCUUGGCAAGCCAGAUGUGAAAGGCUGAGGCUCAACCCCAGGACUGCAUUUGAAACUGUCAUGCUAGAGUGUAGGAGAGGCAGGCGGAAUUCCUAGUGUAGCGGUGAAAUGCGUAGAUAUUAGGAAGAACACCAGUGGCGAAGGCGGCCUGCUGGACGAUGACUGACGUUGAGGCUCGAAAGCGUGGGGAGCAAACAGGAUUAGAUACCCUAGUAGUC